GGUAUGGGAUGAGCUUGCGUCCGAUUAGCUAGUUGGCGGGGCAGCGGCCCACCAAGGCGACGAUCGGUAGCCGGCCUGAGAGGGUGAUCGGCCACAUUGGGACUGAGAUACGGCCCAGACUCCUACGGGAGGCAGCAGUAGGGAAUAUUGCACAAUGGGGGGAACCCUGAUGCAGCAACGCCACGUGUGGGAAGAAGCAUUUCGGUGUGUAAACCACUGUCGUGAGGGAAUAAGGCCUGUUCUAGGACAGGAUUGAAUGUACCUCGAAAGGAAGCACCGGCAAACUUCGUGCCAGCAGCCGCGGUAAUACGAGGGGUGCAAGCGUUGUUCGGAAUCACUGGGCGUAAAGGGAGCGUAGGCGGAGAUUCAAGCGGAUUGUACAAUCCCGGGGCCCAACCCCGGACCUGCAGUCCGAACUGGAUCUCUUGGAUAGUUCAGGGGCAGGC
rnacentral:rRNA from 1 species